GUAUAGUUCAGCACCAUUUAGUACAUGGACACUUUAGGGCAGACAUCACCUCUGUCUAGUUCCGGAACUUUCCUUUCCCCAAACAGAAAGCCUGCAGCCAUCAGCACUCACUUGUUUCCCUCUUCCUCCCCUGAGCCCCAGCAGCCCGGAAUCUUUGUUCUGAGUCUGUGGAUUUCCCUGUUCCAGACUUUUCCUUUGAAUGGAAUCACAGAGAAUGUGAUCUCUGUCUGGCUUAUUUCACUCAGCAUCACGUUUCUGAGGUUUACCCACCCCUUUUCCCGGCUGGGUAAUAUUCCAGCAUAUUCCAUCCACUCUUCAGGCGACGGGCGCUCGGGCUCUUGAAGCCUUUGGAGUGUGUGAAUACCUCGCAGCGAGCAUCGCACACGCCUGUGUGCACGUGUCUUCACACUCCUGGCUCACACCCGGCUGAGGCCAUGGAUGAAAACACACGUGUGCAGAGGCUUGAUUCCGCCUCUGUGGUUACUCUCGCCUCCUCUCCUUCCUCACGCCGAUUCCCGUGACCGUCCAGGGUCUCUUCAGGCCCCCUUUACUGUUCCUGGGAGGGCAGGCUGGCUCAGGUUGUGUUUAUUCUUGUUACUGUCGUUAACAUUGAAGAACUUUAUGUAUUUGUAAGUCGUUGUAAAUUUAUUUCGUUCACGUGUCUUAAUUUCACCCUCAUUUCUGAGGGACAGGCUGAGUGCAGAGUCCUGAGUGACGCCCGUGGACGUGGCCUCCGAGGCUCCCGACGGCACGCCCGCUCUCCCUCGGGCUGCCAGGGCCUCUCUGUCUCACUCUCCACAGGUCGCUUAGGGUGUGCCUGGUGGAGAAGCGGCCCGUCCUUCCAACCUGGAGUUUGUUGAACUUGUACAACGUAUAGGGUUUCCUUCAGUUCUCUGCACACACUCACAACAGCUGGUUUACGGCCGUGGACGUGAGUGUGCGGGCUGCCCCGGAGGCGAGUCUGUUGAGCGGUGUGUGCGACAUCCUCUCUGCCGCCUGCGUGUCUGUUGUCUUAAAGCUGGAGAUCUACAACGGUACGAUGUGGCAGCUCUGGAAAUCACCCCCCCCCCCACAGUUCUGUGGCUGUGUGUGUGUGGCUGUGUGACUUAGGAAGGAAUUCUGGGAAGUCUGUGUGCUUUGUCACAAGCCGCAGAAGUCUGUUCAGCUAGCCUGGUGGUCAGCUAAGGACCGGAGCGAGAUCUUCCGCAAUUCUAGGCACCGGCGCGUCCCGCAGUCGUGGGGCUCGGUGUGUGUCAGCGUGUCGCCAGUGCUGAGCCGGGCAGCGGGCACGGAGGCCAGCGGGCAGGGGUCCCCAGUCUCCAGGGAGCACGUGCGCAGCCCCAGGCGUGUGCACGGCCUUCCGGAGUCCUAGGAAUCUGUGGGAGCCUUUCAGAUGCGCCCAUGGACUCCUCGUGCCCGGCGUCACCUGCUGCCCCAGGCAGCCGCGGUGUUGAACUGCCUCCCGUGUCUUUCUCUAAACAAACUCCCUCGGAGAAACGGCCGUGCCUGCCGGGAGAGCUGCAGGUCACGGCGGAGGAAGAGCCUGACAAGCGGGGUCUCGCGGAAACCACCGGACAGGCCGGGUCAGGACACUUCCCUGGGAGGGGCUUUGAGGGAGCCCCAGCUCCAUUCUGUCCCCUCCAGGGGCCGCCAGGCUGCCAUGGAGACGGCGGGCGGUGGGCGUCGGGCAGGUGAAAAUACCACGGAGCACGGUCUGGCCGAGACCCCGCAGUCUCUCUCGGUCAACGUCCCACAUUGCAAGUCUGGUUGAUUUCCAGAAGCCUGGGAAAGCUGAUUGUGACCAUUUUUGCCAGUGUUCCCAUGGCUUUUACGGGUAAGAGGCUUUUCAGAUGUCCUUAUUCUGCUGUCGCAUUGAUGUCAUUAUUCAGAAUUUUAAAAACAGCCUGAUGAAGCUAAUAUUCGAUAAACUACGCACAGCUUGACAGGCUGUGACGUGUGUGCCCCUCGAGCCGUCCCCGCGACCACGGCAGUGACCGCCCCGUCUCCCGGUCUCCCCGUACUGCCCGCAAACCCGGCCUCCGCCUCUGCACAGACCCCCGUCUCCAGGCAGCCGCUGACCCACUUCCCGUCACCGCGGAUUAGUUUGCGUUUUCUCUUACGCAGGCGGGAUCCGUGUGUGGCGCGUCGUCACUGCGAGAUGCAUCCGUGCUGCCGUGUGAGGCCGUGUUUCAUCCCCGUAACUGCUGACCGGGGUCCCGGGCAAGGGUGUCCACAGCGCGUUCGCCCCCUUGUCAGUGGGCGUUGGGGCUUUUCACAAACAAAACCGCCGUGGACGCGUGUGCACGUGUCUGUGUGGAAGCAGAGAGUCACGUGGCUGCAUCAUAUGAAGGUGUGUGUUCAGCUCUAUAAGAAGCUGUUUCUAAAGAUGCCUGAGCCGCUUUGCAUUCCCGCCCGCGGCGCACGGACGCUGCACACCCCGCCAGCGCCUGAUGCUGUCAGUCCUUGUAUUUUCAGCCUUUCUGUUGGUGGGUGGCGGAGUCUCGCUGGGCCUUAAUUUCCCUAAUGACUAGCGGCCGUGAGCACCCUUUCUGUUCUGAAUUACUGUCUAUACACCGUCCUCGCUGAAUUGUCUCUCAAAUCCUCCUGUUUUCAGAGGAGUGGGUUUCGGAUUAUUGAGCUUUCAGAGCUCUUUAUAUAUUCGGGAUACGACUCGCAUCGGACACAUCAAUUGCAGGUAUUUUCCCCCGGUCUGCGUCUGUGCUUUUAAUUCUCUUCAUCGUGUCUUUUAAAAAGCAGGUGUUUUAAAUUUUGAUGAAAUCUGGUUUAUUGAUUUGUUCUUUCUCAGACCAUGCUUUCGGUUUUGAAGCUAAGAAAUCCUUGCCUCACCCAAAGUUGCAAAGAUUUUCUUCCGUGUUUUCUUACAUCAGGGUUUUCUAGCUUAGGUUUUGCACGUGGACGUACAAUGUGGACUCUCGUCCGCUGGCGUCCCUUGUAAGCGUGACUGUUAGUCUGAGGGGCCGGGGGCAGACGAUGUCCUUUCCCCCGACAUGGCUAGCCAGUUUCCUAUGCCAUUUGUUAAAAAGACUGUUUUCUCUGCUGAACUGCCUUUGCCUUUGUGUCAGAACUCUGUUGUCUGUGCGUGGCUCUAUUUCCGGACCUUAUAUAAGCUCCCUGUCUUCUUUCUGAUCUUGUGAGAAAGCGUUCGAUCUCACCGGUAAGAAUAACAUCAGCUGCGGGUUUUCGUUGAUGCCCUUUACCAAGUGGAGGAAGCCCCCUUCUAUUUUGGUUUGCCCGGUUUUUACCAGAACGGAUGUUGGGUUUUAUCAAGUGCUUUUUCUGUGUCUGUUGAGAUAAUCCUGUGGUCUGUCUUUUACUCUGAUAAUAUGGUGAAUUAUGUCGAUGGGAAUUUGAAUGUAAACCGACCUUGAGAUCUUGGGCUCAACCCCACUUGGUUACGGUGCAUUAGAAUUUUUAACUUAUUGUUGGAUUCAAUUUAAUAAACCUUUUAAGAAUUUU